CCUUCGGGGUUAGUGGCGGACGGGUGAGUAACACGUGGGAACGUACCCUUUGGUUCGGAAUAGCUCAGGGAAACUUGAAUUAAUACCGAAUGUGCCCUUCGGGGGAAAGAUUUAUCGCCAUUGGAGCGGCCCGCGUCUGAUUAGCUAGUUGGUGGGGUAAAGGCCCACCAAGGCUUCGAUCAGUAGCUGGUCUGAGAGGAUGAUCAGCCACACUGGGACUGAGACACGGCCCAGACUCCUACGGGAGGCAGCAGUAGGGAAUCUUGCGCAAUGGGCGAAAGCCUGACGCAGCCAUGCCGCGUGAAUGAUGAAGGUCUUAGGA
rnacentral:rRNA from 1 species